rnacentral:rRNA from 3 species
CUGAGACUUAGAGUCUCCUGAAGGAACGUUGAAGACGACGACGUUGAUAGGCCGGGUGUGUAAGCGCAGCGAUGCGUUGAGCUAACCGGUACUAAUGAACCGUGAGGCUUAACCUUACAACGCCGAAG